rnacentral:misc_RNA from 1 species
AUUUUAGCUCUAAAACAUGUACAUAUCGCCCAUCGUUCUUAUUUUUAAAAUAAGAUAAGUUGUAACAUAGUAGAUGUACUGGAAAGUGUAUCUAGAAAGA